rnacentral:rRNA from 1 species
UACGUAGGGUGCGAGCGUUGUCCGGAAUUAUUGGGCGUAAAGAGCUCGUAGGCGGUGUGUCACGUCGGCCGUGAAAACCUGGGGCUUAACUCUGGGCGUGCGGUCGAUACGGGCAUCACUAGAGUUCGGCAGGGGAGACUGGAAUUCCUGGUGUAGCGGUGAAAUGCGCAGAUAUCAGGAGGAACACCGGUGGCGAAGGCGGUUCUCUGGGCCUGUACUGACGCUGAGGAACGAAAGCGUGGGGAGCGAACAGG